rnacentral:tRNA from 1 species
UGCCGACGGAUUUACAAUCCGCCCCCAUGAGCCACUCGGGCGUUGACCCAAUGUCAACGCCCGAGUGAAUUUAAAGAAAGCUUU